rnacentral:rRNA from 1 species
CCUACGGGUGGCAGCAGUAGGGAAUAUUGCGCAAUGGGGGAAACCCUGAAGCAGCAACGCCGCGUGGAGGAUGAAGGUUUUCGGAUUGUAAACUCCUGUUGUUAGAGAAGAUAAUGACCUUAGCUAACGAAUAAGCACCGGCUAACUCCGUGCCAGCAGCCGCGGUAAUACGGAGGGUGCGAGCGUUACUCGGAAUCACUGGGCGUAAAGAGCGCGGAGGCGGGAUAGCAAGUCAGAGGUGAAAUCCUAUGGCUUAACCAUAGAACUGCAUUUGAAACUGUUAUUCUAGAGUAUGGGAGAGGUAGGUGGAAUUCUUGGUGUAGGAGUAAAAUCCGUAGAGAUCAAGAGGAAUACUCAUUGCGAAGGCGACCAGCUAGAACAUAACUGACGCUGAUGCGCGAAAGCGUGGGUAGCAAACAGGAUUAGAUACCCGAGUAGUC